GACGAACGCUGGCGGCGUGCCUAAUACAUGCAAGUAGGACGCAGUUGCGAACGGGUGAGUAACGCGUAGGUAACUACCUCUUAGUGGGGGGUAACUAUUGGAAACGAUAGCUAAUACCGCAUACUAGUAGAUGGACCUGCGUUGUAUUAGCUAGUAGGUAGGGUAAUGGCCUACCUAGGCAACGAUACAUAGCCGGCCUGGGGGGGUGAGCGGCCAAACUGGGACUGAGACACGGGCCCGCAUCCUACUGGAGGCAGCAGUAGGGAAUCUUCGGCAAUGGGGGGAACACUGACUGUGCAACGCCGCGGGAGUGAAGAAGGUUUUCGGAUCGGAAAGCUCUGUUGUUAAGGAAGCGGUACUUAACCAGAAAGGGACGGCUAACUACGUGCCAGCAGCCGCGGUAAUAC
rnacentral:rRNA from 1 species